ACGCUGCGGCAGCCUAACACAUGCAAGUCGAGCGUAGAGAGAAGCUGCUUCUCUGAGAGCGGCGGACGGGUGAGUAAAGCCUAGGAAUCUGCCUGGUAGUGGGGGAUAACGUUCGGAAACGGACGCUAAUACCGCAUACGUCCUACGGGAGAAAGCAGGGGACCUUUCGGGCCUUGCGCUAUCAGAUGAGCCUAGGUCGGAUUAGCUAGUUGGUGAGGUAAUGGCUCACCAAGGCGACGAUCCGUAACUGGUCUGAGAGGAUGAUCAGUCACACUGGAACUGAGACACGGUCCAGACUCCUACGGGAGGCAGCAGUGGGGAAUAUUGGACAAUGGGCGAAAGCCUGAUCCAGCCAUGCCGCGUGUGUGAAGAAGGUCUUCGGAUUGUAAAGCACUUUAAGUUGGGAGGAAGGGCAUUAACCUAAUACGUUAGUGUUUUGACGUUACCGACAGAAUAAGCACCGGCUAACUCUGUGCCAGCAGCCGCGGUAAUACAGAGGGUGCAAGCGUUAAUCGGAAUUACUGGGCGUAAAGCGCGCGUAGGUGGUUUGUUAAGUUGGAUGUGAAAUCCCCGGGCUCAACCUGGGAACUGCAUUCAAAACUGACUGACUAGAGUAUGGUAGAGGGUGGUGGAAUUUCCUGUGUAGCGGUGAAAUGCGUAGAUAUAGGAAGGAACACCAGUGGCGAAGGCGACCACCUGGACUAAUACUGACACUGAGGUGCGAAAGCGUGGGGAGCAAACAGGAUUAGAUACCCUGGUAGUCCACGCCGUAAACGAUGUCAACUAGCCGUUGGGAGCCUUGAGCUCUUAGUGGCGCAGCUAACG
rnacentral:rRNA from 1 species